GAUGAACGCUGGCGGCGUGCCUAAUACAUGCAAGUCGAGCGAACAGACGAGGAGCUUGCUCCUCUGACGUUAGCGGCGGACGGGUGAGUAACACGUGGAUAACCUACCUAUAAGACUGGGAUAACUUCGGGAAACCGGAGCUAAUACCGGAUAACAUGUUGAACCGCAUGGUUCAACAGUGAAAGACGGUCUUGCUGUCACUUAUAGAUGGAUCCGCGCCGCAUUAGCUAGUUGGUAAGGUAACGGCUUACCAAGGCAACGAUGCGUAGCCGACCUGAGAGGGGGAACGGCCCACCUGGAACUGAAACAGGGUCCAGACCCUCAGGGGAGGACGAAGGGGGGAAUUUGCCGCAAUGGGCGAAAGCCUGACGGAGCAAAGCCGCGUGGGUGAAGAAGGUUUUCGGAUUGUAAAACUCUUUUUUGAGGGAAAAAAAAAUGGUAAAGUAACUAUGCCCGUCUUAACGGUACCUAAGAAAAAAGCCCCGGUUAACUACGU
rnacentral:rRNA from 1 species